AUAGGACUAAAAUGAAUUGAAUUGAUAUCCACACACUUAAAACUCUCCGAAUCCAAAGAACUUUCAUUAUAUUCAAAGUUCCGUAAGCAAACUCAAAUUAUCAAAAAUGGCUUGUGGUUGCACUUCUUGUGGCACUAACUGCAGUUGUGGAUGCAAGUCCGCUGCAAAAGAAAACCUCGAGGGAGGAUGCAAGUGUGGAGACAACAACUGCACUUGUACCGAUUGCAAGUGUUAAUGCAGAAAUGAUGAAGAGGAGGGAUUAUUUACAUGUCAACGAAUAUCCCUGAUGAAAUGAUCAUACUAUGGUGUCGUUUGUGGGUGUCUUUGUUGUUAAAAUAAAGUAGUCAUGAUUAGCAAUGUUUGAGAUUCAAGGGUUGUUACAUAUUAUUCAUGGCUACAUAGUGUUUGUGUACAUGUUGCUAAUUCAGUUGUGUAAAAGUGGUGAUGGGAGAUGUUGUUUCAGUCCUGUGGUUUUCAUAAUACUAUUACGAGCAAAAACCUGUUGUUUUACUCCUGUUAUUAAUUCA